rnacentral:rRNA from 1 species
UACGAAGGGGCUAGCGUUGUUCGGAAUUACUGGGCGUAAAGCGCGCGCAGGCGGUCCUUCAAGUCAGAGGUGAAAGCCCAGAGCUCAACUCUGGAAUGGCCUUUGAGACUAGAGGACUUGGGUACGGGAGAGGUGAGUGGAAUUCCGAGUGUAGAGGUGAAAUUCGUAGAUAUUCGGAAGAACACCAGUGGCGAAGGCGGCUCACUGGCCCGUUACCGACGCUCAGGCGCGAC